UGACUAUCGGUGGCUUGUCCCCUUCUGGCUCUGACGUGUAUGUAGUCUUGCUUAGGCGGCGGCGGAGGCGGCGGAGAAGGUGGUUGUUUCUCUGGCUCACCUUUCAACUCAUCCACGGAAUCUCCCAACUUCACAUGCUUAUUGCCGCAACUAUCAUUCUGUUUCAUAACCGUAACAGAAUUCAGUUAGAAAAAAAAAACCGUUUCAGUGCCGCGAAUUAACUAACUAACUUUCAAUUAAAAUGGAACAAAAUUAGGUGGCAAGCCAACCGAGGAGGAGAAGGGAGGGAGGUUUCUUUUCCGGCGCGGAGGAAGGAGGGUGGAGCUGGUGGUGGGGUCGGGGUCCGGAGGCCAAAUUUCAGACAAGGAGGGGUUGGCGGAGGAGAAUGUGGAGUCGUUGAAGAGGGGAGGGUCCAUUAUUUCAUUCAAUUUUUUGGUGAGGAUUUGGUGGUUAAUUUAUUGGAGUUUGAUGAUGGAGACAGUGAUAGUGAGUGAA
rnacentral:lncRNA from 1 species